CACAGCACAGCAGCGCCUCUCUGCCGCCCCAGCUGAAGCCCUCGCUGGCUGCUCCAGGCUCCAUGGGCAGACUGGGAACACAGGAGCUCCUGGUGGUGACGUUCCCAGAUCCGGAGGCACGGCUGUGUUCCAUGAAGGCUGGCUUGAGUGUGGGACCCUGCCCUCUGAUGCAGGUGGGAUUGGGGCUGUAGGCACAUCCCCUGAUGUAGGUGCGGCCAGGCUCCACGGAGGUGUGCAGGUCUCCUGAGGGGGCACUCUUGGCAUUUGCAUGGUGAUGGGAGGUGCCAGUGGUACCAUUGCAAAUGGUGGGGGGGGGCGGUCUCAGCAGUUGCAUGGCAUGGUGUAAUGGCUGCAGAAUUCGCCUUUAUCCUGGGAUAAGCCACCACGUGGUCUGGUCCCACAGAACAGGACGGCAUGGCGUACCUGCCUGGAUCGGCAAUAUAGCGGCCCAAGGUGGCUGCAUAGUGAUUACAGCAGUCCAGAGUGGACAUGGGGCAUGUCAGAGCUGCCGGGGCUUCAGCGGCCGCCAUCUCUCCGUGUGGCUGGAUGGCGCAAUCUGUCCUGCCGGCUCCCUGGGCAGUGCCAGCAUUCGCGGCGUGGGCAGCUUGCAGAUCUCCGUUUGCUGGGAUUGUCUCCAUUUGCUGGGAUUCUCCCAGUCCCUGGGCCUGUGCCGCUCCUUAUGGUCACGCCGCAGCAGUUCUCACAGCAGCCGGGGCCCACCGACUCCCUGGGCAGUGCCGGCUCCUGCGUGGGGUUGCACAAAGAAACAGGUGCACUGUUGCCCUUCCCUCUUUGCCUCUCAUAUUCGAGCUGUUUUCGCAAGUCCAUAACAAUUGUCCAAGGUUUUAUAGCUCUGAUGGCUGUGUCCUUACCAUUAGAGGCUGGAGCAAUUAUAUGUUGUCCAACCCCCUCCUAAAAGGGUAAGUUUAAAGCGGUCUCUUCGGAAACAUUUAGUUCAUGGCUUUCACAUCACCUUGCAGAGUAAUAAAUGCCUCUUUUUUAAAAAAAGAACAUCCAUACCUUCAGGAUGGCUGAAGCUCCCUCUGGCUUCAGCUCUUUUAGUGACAAGAAGUGGCCAAGACCCCCAGUGCUACCCUGAUGAGGCCUUGGUGCUGCUCUUUUAGUGUUGGGCAAUGGCCACUGCUGAUGCAGGUUUUUGUUAUUUUUUAUUCUAUUCUCUACCGCUGCUGUUUCUCGCUGCUCUUGGUGCAACUCCUCUGUGACACGGGCAGCGGGGAACCCUUGGUGUGACUUUUUUCUUGUAUUUUAUUCUAUUGUCUAUGUUUAAUUCUAGUCACACUGUUAUAGAUGAGCAAUAUAAUAGUUGACUCUAACAAUUAAGAGAUAAAUAUUAUGUGGAUAUAUAGUAAUGUCAUGGUAGUAUGUCCCCCAUAGUCCUCUUUCCUUCCCCCUUGCAAUGCAAUGGCCUCAGUAGUCAGGGCAUGUAGAGAAAGCCAUCUUAUUACCAAGAUGCACAGUGUAACAACACCUGAUCUCCAAUCAAGAUGUAAGGAGGUAAUCACUAAUGGAUGGCAGAGAAGGAGUUGACUGACAAAACUUCGGGAGCAGCUAAGGAUAUAAAAGGCAGAGCAUUCAUGUUGUAGAUGAGCACAUGGCUGAUAGUCAUGGGGGGGUGGUGCUCCCAGCACUGUAAUUUUUCCUUAUUUAGUCUUUUUGGUUCUUUUUUGUUAAGGUUUAAUAAACCUUUAAAAAUUCUAAAAGUGAGCAGUUGUUUCUCACAAUGGGGACUCGUCCAGGAUAAAACCUUGUCUCUGUGGCUGUAGGAGAUUUUGAAAGAGAAGCACACCCUGCCAAGUUUGGCAGCUCAGUCAAAUGACCAUUGGUGAUUGCAGGUACAGACUCUGGGGACAGCAGAGGACUAAAUAACGAAAAAGAAGAGGGGGAAGAAAACUGCAGAUCUAGACGAUUUUUCAGACAAUACAUGGGACACAUCCUGGUCUGUUGAAGCCUUAAGAUAUUGGACGGUCAGAAGACAAAGAACGGCAACUGCUGCUGGCUGUGACUGUCUUUGCAGUUCAGCUGGAACCUGGACAGUUGUAACAUCUGUGGGUUCUACUGCUGCACCAUCAGACUCUCCCUCUUCGAGGCAGGGGAAGGGCUUCUCAUCAGCUGGGGAAAUGUACUCCUUCAGCAUCUGGCCUAUCUCCUUUACUAGAAACCCCACCCACUCUGGGUAGUUCAUAUCUGGGGUGGACUGUGGGGCAGGGUCAGGUUCUGGGGCAGCAGCAUCUCUAGUCUUGGGUGCCUUGUCAGGUUCUGGGUUAGGUGUCAGGGUGGUUCUUCCCUUAUCUCUAAAUGCUAAAUAGAACAGGCCUAACAGCAUCACCAGCCACUGUAUGAUAGCAUUAGUAUUUAGAGUGGAUCUGAACCCUUCAAAAACUGGUGGGGCAGACCCAAAGAGAUGCUUAAAGGGUUGGGAGAAAAUUUCCCCUGGUAUAAUUUCCUUACAGUAGGUGUCAUUAUUAAAGUAACCCCAAAAACAUAUAGUUAGUGUGUGGUAGCUGUGAAUCCAUGUGCCUGCUUUCCAGAGGAAGUUAAAAAUUCAUUAAUUCCUCAUCUUAUUCACCCAUAAAACAAACCGGAUAACAGCCACAGUAGCCUUGGUUAUAGGACCCAUGUUUAGAUAAGGGCCUGCAAAUGGGAGAAAUAAAGCCACAAUUACACGCCAAACCAGGGUAGGCUGGACCACAUGGUGUCGCUUAACGAGGUUUCUAUAGCAGCACACAAAAAUUAGAUUACUCAAGAACUGUUAUUCCCUUUUUUGUUUCUAUGCCCUCGAGCCCCACAUUGAGCGCCAAAAUCUGUCUUGGUUUGGAAAGACAGGUCUGCUAAGGAAGGCAGGAGUCUCUUGAAAUAGAAAAACGUAAACUUCUUCCUUCUGAAUUGUUAUAAAUUUGAAAAUAAGGGGGGUUUUCAGGUAAAAAUAUGGGAAUAGGAAUAACAGUUCUUUAUUAGGGAAGAAAAUAAAAAAAUAAAAUAUACAAUGCAGUGAACUAAAACAACACUGACAGAGCCAGAAUACAAGCUGACACGCUAUUGGUCAGGGUGUUGGCAGCAGUUAAAUUGGAAUUAUGGCUGCGGUUUUUCUGGAGUGUCAGGUGUGGUUCUGUUGGAGUAGGGACUCUGUAGAAAAGGGUGUAGUCUUCUUUUGAAGAGGUAGUGGAAGAGGCAGCUGUUCCUUUGGGAAAACCCAGUGCAGAAAAAACCUGUGCUGAUGGGCCAGAAUCUCAAGACUAUACAUGAAGGUAGGAAUGCUUGGCUCCUCCCUCUGGGCGGAGCAUCUCACAAUGGGAUAUUAUAGUUUUUAUUAGCCAUGCAGUGACACUCAAUGGCCCAUUAUUAGUAGAUGUCUCCCCAGAGGGAGGAUUGAUUGUGGAAGAGAUAAGGAAAAUUGCCCACUUAACACAAGACAACUGCCAUACAGAUGGCAAAUAGAAUACAUCUUGCUUUUCAAUCUGGGACAUUUGGAAAAAUAAUUGGAAAAGUAUAUGUGAUUAGUGUUAUGAAGCAGAUGGGUUUCUUCAAGAAUACAUGUGGAAAGUAGGAUGCAGAAGUUGGAUUCAGCCUUGGGAAUGGAGGAAGUCAGGAACUGACUCCCAAACCAAAACUGGCAUCAACUGAAGUUAGAAGACAACUCCCAGAGCAGGAUCGACCUUGAAUAUGAAUAAAACUGGCAGCAUUCCAGAUAGGGAACCUAAAAUAGUGGUCUUAUCUAUGAAAUAAUAAGGCUCAAUUGAAACAUAAUGCAUCAAGCUCAAUGUGCAUGCACAAUCUGCCAGGUCAUUCAGCGGACAGCAAGGAAGACCUUUGGCCUUCCUCCAAGAAGACCCCCGAAGAGACAAGAAGACUCCCUAGCAACAAUGGGAGCAUGCGCCAUGCAGUAGAGUGACACAGAUUUCAAGAAUCAAAAAUGGGAGCAGAUUUAUGGGAAUUAUUGAUGAAUAUGUAUUAGCGUACAGUAUAAAAAUUGUGCUUGGAUUCUUUUGCCCUUUGUACAGAUGGCAAUGUGAGAACCCCUCCCCGUACCCCGAUCGGUUUUGCUUCUGCUUUAUCUGAACCAUUGCCAAAUAACUCUUUGUAACCACUUCAUUAUAUUUUAUUGUAUUAUUAUUAUUUUAUUCCCCAAUUAAAAAUUGCUGCUAAAUUUCAA